GCCUAACAUGGCAUUUGCUUUUGUGUGUCGAACUGUACUUAUGCUGGUAUUUCACAAGCUUGGCUUCGGCCUAAGCAGCUGCUGGUGGACCAUGGUCGUGUUUCAAAUGAGCCGAUUUAUUGCGUCAUUUUCGCGUCUGACUUCAUCCAAGAACAUCCUAAACAACAUUUAAGUAAGUUAUUGUAAGAUACACUGGAUUAAGUUUGAAUAGGUACUUUCAAAACCACUAUAAAUUCUUGUGAAUGUAAGAUUACAAUUUUUUUUACAAUUGCUUGAUAAUAGAACAUUGGACGGCCUCACUAA